AACUUUUAGAGGAUGGUAGAUAUCCGUUGGUCUUAGGAACCAAAAAA
rnacentral:tRNA from 1 species